rnacentral:rRNA from 1 species
GAUAAAAAACCAACGCCCUUCGGGGCUCCUUGGUGAAUCAUAAUAACUUAACGAAUCGCAUGGCCUUGCGCCGGCGAUGGUUCAUUCAAAUUUCUGCCCUAUCAACUUUCGAUGGUAGGAUAGUGGCCUACCAUGGUGGCAACGGGUAACGGGGAAUUAGGGUUCGAUUCCGGAGAGGGAGCCUGAGAAACGGCUACCACAUCCAAGGAAGGCAGCAGGCGCGCAAAUUACCCAAUCCCGAUACGGGGAGGUAGUGACAAUAAAUACUGAUACGGGGCUCUUUUGGGUCUCGUAAUUGGAAUGAGAACAAUUUAAAUCCCUUAACGAGGAACAAUUGGAGGGCAAGUCUGGUGCCAGCAGCCGCGGUAAUUCCAGCUCCAAUAGCGUAUAUUAAAGUUGUUGCAGUUAAAAAGCUCGUAGUUGAACCUUGGGUCUGGCUGGCCGGUCCGCCUCACCGCGAGUACUGGUCCGGCUGGACCUUUCCUUCUGGGGAACCUCAUGGCCUUCACUGGCUGUGGGGGGAACCAGGACUUUUACUGUGAAAAAAUUAGAGUGUUCAAAGCAGGCCUUUGCUCGAAUACAUUAGCAUGGAAUAAUAGAAUAGGACGUGUGGUUCUAUUUUGUUGGUUUCUAGGACCGCCGUAAUGAUUAAUAGGGAUAGUCGGGGGCGUCAGUAUUCAGCUGUCAGAGGUGAAAUUCUUGGAUUUGCUGAAGACUAACUACUGCGAAAGCAUUCGCCAAGGAUGUUUUCAUUAAUCAGGGAACGAAAGUUAGGGGAUCGAAGACGAUCAGAUACCGUC